rnacentral:rRNA from 1 species
CAGUCGCCGCGGUAAUACGAAGGGUGCAAGCGUUAAUCGGAAUUACUGGGCGUAAAGCGUGCGUAGGUGGUGGUUUAAGUCCGUUGUGAAAGCCCUGGGCUCAACCUGGGAAUUGCAGUGGAUACUGGGUCACUAGAGUGUGGUAGAGGAUAGUGGAAUUUCCGGUGUAGCAGUGAAAUGCGUAGAGAUCGGAAGGAACAUCUGUGGCGAAGGCGACUAUCUGGGCCAACACUGACACUGAGGCACGAAAGCGUGGGGAGCAAACAGGAUUAGAUACCCGUGUAGUCCCUGUCUCUUAUAC